UGUUUCAAGCUUCAUAUAUAGAGAUGCCUUUGUGAUUUUGUUUCUGGAUUACUGUUAAGAGGAUGAGCUAUUUUUAGCUCUUUUAUUGAGGUGGAAAAUUAUUUCAUUUUGGGUUUAUAAUCUUGAAACUCCUGAUGAAGUUCUACAUCUACUCUCCAAAGGCCUUGUGUCUUGAUUGUCCAGAUCCAAGAUAAAGGAUGUUGGCAUGAUGAAAAAAGACAGAUUCAGUUGGAUAUAUACAAAGGAUUCUAUUCAUAUUUUUCAAGCAAAGGAUACAACUCAUGAGAGAUACCCAGAGAUUCAAGCAAUGCUGGCCAAGUUAAAGAGAGAUGUGAAAGCAGCAGACAUGACAAAAAUCUUGGAAUUGGAACCCUUACAUGACCAAGCUAGGAGAAGUGUGACACGUUUAAAGCCAUUAGCUGAUGAGAAGUGAGAAAAGAUGAAAGAAGAGAUGAUUGGUCAGCUUAAAAUCUCCUGUCUUUGCAUGGACUAAUCAUCUAUAUUUUCUUUUCUAAUGUAACUCUGUAAAUAGCAGAAAUUCUUUCCUAUCCAACUGUUAAUGUUUUGACAUUUUGUCCUCACUUAUGUUAGUCAGAAAGAAGAGCAUAUAGUCCAUGUCACUCAUAUGGUUGUGGACGACUAUCUUUUUGUACUCAGAGAUUCUGUGUUGCUUCUCCGGCUAGUCGCUUAGGAAAGUUUGAACAUGCUGACAUAUUUUGAUAUCAAAUUAACUUGCCAGCUUUCGGUACAUCAGAUUACUUAGCAUAUUUUGUGUAGUCAUAGAUUUACCUCCAACUGUCUUAAUGUGUCCAAUAGAUUAAAGUACUUUUCUCUUUAUUUUUAUUCUCUAUUUCUAUUGAUAAGAUUGCAAAAGUAAGAAUCUUUACUGAUUUUGACAACGAAUGAUUUUCUUGAUUUGCUUCAGGGGGAGCAGAGCCAAAACUAUUGUCAUUCUCUGCGGCUCUCGAAAUCACCUUUGGGGUAUUUUCGAUUCGUGGUAUGUUCUGUUAAGCUAAAAUUCAUAGACUUCGUUGACGUAAUUUCGUGACAAAGUAGAAGGUUCUCUUGACUGUAAUUUAGUUAUUUAAUCAUGUGUUAAGAAAAGUGGGAGUGUUAAUUACAAGGAGAUGGAAAUAAAUAACUGAACAAUAUAGAAUCAUUCUCUCUAUUUUGCAAACGAACAUCAUUAAGAUUCAUUAGUGAGCUUCUGGGUUGUGAAGCUUCAUAUUUCAGAUGAUAUUCUAUAUCUCUUCACCAGCAUAUUGUGUAU